CUGCUGGCCAUUCUCCUGGCACUGCUGUGUCGAUAUAAAAACGCCAAAGGUUCCUGUUGUAACAGGAAAUUCUCGCCCCCCCAGCCACACAGCACCAACCUGGACCCCCAACAGGACCAAGGAUCUACCCAG